AACGCACAUUGCGCCCCUUGGUAUUCCAUGGGGCAUGCCUGUUCGAGCGUCAUUUGUACCUUCAAGCUUUGCUUGGUGUUGGGUGCUUGUCUUUUUGUUAAGACUCACCUCAAAGUCAUUGGCAGCCAGUGUUUUGGUAGUAAGCGCAGCACAUUUUGCGUCUUGGUCCCUCAACAGCAGCUUCCAUCAAGCCAUUUUCUCACUUUUGACCUCGGAUCAGGUAGGGAUACCCGCUGAACUUAA
rnacentral:misc_RNA from 1 species